rnacentral:rRNA from 1 species
GUGGGGAAUAUUGGGCAAUGGGGGAAACCCUGACCCAGCAACGCCGCGUGAAGGAAGAAGGCUUUCGGGUUGUAAACUUCUUUUAUGAGGGACGAAGAAGUGACGGUACCUCAUGAAUAAGCCACGGCUAACUACGUGCCAGCAGCCGCGGUAAUACGUAGGUGGCAAGCGUUGUCCGGAUUUACUGGGUGUAAAGGGCGCGUAGGCGGGAUAGCAAGUCAGGUGUGAAAUCCGGGGGCUCAACCCUCGAACUGCACUUGAAACUGUUAUUCUUGAGUGAUGGAGAGGCAGGCGGAAUUCCUAGUGUAGCGGUGAAAUGCGUAGAUAUUAGGAGGAACACCAGUGGCGAAGGCGGCCUGCUGGACAUUAACUGACGCUGAGGCGCGAAAGCGUGGGGAGCAAACAGGAUUAGAUACCCGUGUAGUCC